UACGGAGGGGGCUAGCGUUGUUCGGAAUUACUGGGCGUAAAGCGCACGUAGGCGGACCGGAAAGUCAGAGGUGAAAUCCCAGGGCUCAACCUUGGAACUGCCUUUGAAACUCCUGGUCUUGAGGUCGAGAGAGGUGAGUGGAAUUCCGAGUGUAGAGGUGAAAUUCGUAGAUAUUCGGAGGAACACCAGUGGCGAAGGCGGCUUACUGGUCCGGUUCUGACGCUGAGGCGCGAAAGCGUGGGGAGCAAACAGG
rnacentral:rRNA from 1 species